CAGGGUCUUGCGACUGCCCAAACCAACCGUGAACUACUCCAUCUCUUCUGCCUCGGCGGGCCGCUCGCUGGGGGAGCCUCGGGCCGCCGCCUCGCCGCGGCGGUGGCCUGCCGAAGCAACCAAGACCCAAAACUCUUCCAAAUAGUCUUCUGAGAAGCAACUUUCCGAGAGGAAACAAAUCAGUCA
rnacentral:misc_RNA from 1 species